rnacentral:rRNA from 1 species
UACGUAGGGUGCGAGCGUUGUCCGGAAUUAUUGGGCGUAAAGAGCUCGUAGGUGGCUUGUCACGUCGGGUGUGAAAGCUUGGGGCUUAACUCCAGGUCUGCAUUCGAUACGGGCUGGCUAGAGGUAGGUAGGGGAGAACGGAAUUCCUGGUGUAGCGGUGAAAUGCGCAGAUAUCUGGAGGAACACCGGUGGCGAAGGCGGCAUCCUGGACCAACACUGACGCUGAGGAGCGAAAAGCCAGGGGAGCAAAGCGGG